GCAAGGACCUAAAAUUUUGCCUAAAGUCUGGCCCAUUCCCCCCUCUACAGUUUCAUAUGAUGAUGUUUAUGGAUCUGCGCAGGUGGGGUGAGUUUAUCAUGAGAAUGUCCGUUGGAGGUUCCAAAGUCAGUUCUGGGUCCGGAUUCCUCAUUGUCGGGUUCAUUAUGGGUUCAUUAUGAGUACAUAAUUCCCUAUCUGUGGGUUGAAAGGACGCUAAAUAUCUAUGGAGCUUUUCAAGAGAUUCGGAGGACAGAUAAGUAUGAAUUUCUUGUCAUAUUUCUCGUUGUAUAUCAUCACUUUUUAACUCUUUUAGAACCAUUAUUUCUGUUCGAGUUUCUCGCAUUUCCUCGAGAGCUUCUUCUAUUUCCUGAGUAGUUAUACGUAUUGUUCUUAGAUGAAUUGAGUUUAAAAUAUUGGGUACCUUCUUGAUGAAAUGUUCCCGCUUCCUGCGUCAUACCCUGCACUUGCCAAUGGUGGUAGAGUGGGUCGAUAUCCUUGAAGUUGGGCAUUAAUGGCGGUAUCGACAUGGAUGGACCCUCCCAUCUGGUAUGGCUGUUGCAUUGGCCCCACAGUCGGCGUCUCCCAGAUUGGGACAUUGAAGAAGGGUAAUGUUAGAAGCUGGUAGUGCAUUGGUGGUUGGAGAACCGUUGAUAUCCAUAGAUGCUGAUUGUAUGUUUCCAUUGCUCUCCUCAUCACAUCCGCCGCGAAGAUGGCUAGGACUGUCGGGUCUUGAAGGAGAAGCAUCAUCUCCCCGUGACCCGUUUGAACCUGGAGUGCAAUGGACUGCUCUUGAAGGCACCUUUCCAUCCAAGAGUUGGGGUUGGGGUUCUGUGGGAUUUGUGGAGUGGAGUAAACUGGCAUCUUUCCAGCAGGUAGGCCCAUUACCGAUACUAGUUGAAUGGGAGGUAGCAUCGUUUGAGUACGGAUAGUGUUCAUGUUGUAGAAGAACUAGGGGUUGGAGUUUUGAGUGUUUGAUCGUUGAGAAGUCAGAGGUCUCCUUCACUAUAAACUCCAGCUUUGUGUUGUAGCUAGUAAGAUUAUCUAAUAACAUACAAACACAUACAUGUACAUUGUAAAAUAGAGUUUUAUAUUCUAUUGUAGUGUACUAUUUAAUAAAACAGAG
rnacentral:lncRNA from 1 species